rnacentral:rRNA from 1 species
UACAGAGGUCCCGAGCGUUGUUCGGAUUCACUGGGCGUAAAGGGUGCGUAGGUGGCGGGGGUAAGUUUGAUGUGAAAUCUCCGGGCUUAACCCGGAAACUGCAUUGAAUACUAUUCUGCUGGAGGUUUGGAGGGGGGACUGGAAUUCUCGGUGUAGCAGUGAAAUGCGUAGAUAUCGAGAGGAACACCAGUGGCGAAGGCGAGUCCCUGGACAACACCUGACACUGAGGCACGAAAGCUAGGGGAGCAAAACAGG